AAAUUGAAGAGUUUGAUCAUGGCUCAGAUUGAACGCUGGCGGCAGGCCUAACACAUGCAAGUCGAACGGUAACAGGAAGCAGCUUGCUGUUUCGCUGACGAGUGGCGGACGGGUGAGUAAUGUCUGGGAAACUGCCUGAUGGAGGGGGAUAACUACUGGAAACGGUAGCUAAUACCGCAUAACGUCGCAAGACCAAAGAGGGGGACCUUCGGGCCUCUUGCCAUCGGAUGUGCCCAGAUGGGAUUAGCUAGUAGGUGGGGUAACGGCUCACCUAGGCGACGAUCCCUAGCUGGUCUGAGAGGAUGACCAGCCACACUGGAACUGAGACACGGUCCAGACUCCUACGGGAGGCAGCAGUGGGGAAUAUUGCACAAUGGGCGCAAGCCUGAUGCAGCCAUGCCGCGUGUAUGAAGAAGGCCUUCGGGUUGUAAAGUACUUUCAGCGGGGAGGAAGGGAGUAAAGUUAAUACCUUUACUCAUUGACGUUACCCGCAGAAGAAGCACCGGCUAACUCCGUGCCAGCAGCCGCGGUAAUACGGAGGGUGCAAGCGUUAAUCGGAAUUACUGGGCGUAAAGCGCACGCAGGCGGUUUGUUAAGUCAGAUGUGAAAUCCCCGGGCUCAACCUGGGAACUGCAUCUGAUACUGGCAAGCUUGAGUCUCG
rnacentral:rRNA from 1 species